UACAGAGGGGGCAAGCGUUGUUCGGAAUUACUGGGCGUAAAGGGCGCGUAGGCGGCCGCCUAAGUCAGACGUGAAAUCCCUCGGCUCAACCGGGGAACUGCGUCUGAUACUGGGCGGCUUGAAUUCGGGAGAGGAAUGCGGAAUUCCAGGUGUAGCGGUGAAAUGCGUAGAUAUCUGGAGGAACACCGGUGGCGAAGGCGGCAUUCUGGACCGACAUUGACGCUGAGGCGCGAAAGCCAGGGGAGCAAACAGG
rnacentral:rRNA from 1 species